rnacentral:lncRNA from 1 species
CAGGAAAUAAAGGGUAAACUUUCAAACUUAAACAUAUUCUAGCUCUGAAACUGUAAGUGAGAAUGUAAUGAUUAUUUUUCAGCAAGACAAAAAGUGUUGGCAAAGGAAAAAAACUGGUACUUCUUUGAGGGACUCCUGAAGUUUCAGAGGAAGGGUAGAAGCAAGCCCAGACUGACUGCUCCCCUUUCUCCUUCCAUGGUCAUAAGCAGACUACUGGACCCCAGUGAAUUAAUUGUCCUUCACUUGAGGGGUUGGGCUGUGUCAAUCUGGUUGAAUCUACCAAAGGAAAACUUUCUAAGAUGAGAAGAGACCAUGCUGCAGGUAUCUCCCACCAGGACUAUGGAGUAGAGAGAAAAUGUCUGGGCACAACUUACAGGCUCACUUCUGGUAAGAAUGACUGCAAGGGUCAAAUAAUCAUAUUCUUCAAACAAAGGAAUUCUGUCC